rnacentral:rRNA from 1 species
AUGCAAGUCGAGCGGCAGCACGGACUUCGGUCUGGUGGCGAGUGGCGAACGGGUGAGUAACGCGUGGGUAACCUGCCUCAUACAGGGGAAUAGCAGCUGGAAACGGCUGAUAAAACCGCAUAAGCGCACAGUGCCGCAUGGCACAGUGUGAAAAACUCCGGUGGUAUGAGAUGGACCCGCGUCUGAUUAGCUAGUUGGUGGGGUAACGGCCUACCAAGGCGACGAUCCGUAGCUGAUCUUAGAGGAUGAUCAGCCACACUGGGACUGAGACACGGCCCAGACUCCUACGGGAGGCAGCAGUGGGGAAUCUUGGACAAUGGGCGCAAGCCUGAUCCAGCCAUGCCGCGUGAGUGAAGAAGGUCUUCGGAUUGUAAAGCUCUUUUGCCAGGGACGAUAAUGACGGUACCUGGAGAAUAAGCCCCGGCAAACUUCGUGCCAGCAGCCGCCGCAG